GUGCUCGUUUCAACAGCAAACAUACUAAAAAUUGAACAAUACAGAGAAGAUUAGUAUGGCCCCUCUGCAAGGAUGAGAUGCAAAAUCAUGAAGUGUUCCAUAUUUUU
ensembl:snRNA U6 U6 spliceosomal RNA